rnacentral:rRNA from 1 species
ACAAACUUGACGCAGUGUAGAAUGUCUUUUUUCUUUUGCGAUCACACGCAAUCAAUACAACUUUCAACAACGGAUCUCUUGGCUCUCGCAUCGAUGAAGAACGCAGCGAAAUGCGAUACGUAAUGUGAAUUGCAGAAUUCAGUGAAUCAUCGAAUCUUUGAACGCACCUUGCGCCCCUUGGCAUUCCGAGGGGCACACCCGUUUGAGUGUCGUGAAAUUCUCAAAACCCUUUCUUUUUGGUCUUUCGAUCGAAGAAAGGCUUUUGGACUUGGAGGCUUUUUGCUGGUUUCACCUUGAAGCGAGCUCCUCCUAAAUGAAUCAGUGGGGUCCGCUUUGCUGAUCCUUGACGUGAUAAGAUGUUUCUACGUCUUGGGUUUUGGCACUGUCCCUUGGGCACCUGCUUCAAACCGUCUCAUUGACAACGAUGGUGUUCCGGUCACCGCCGCUUCGUCGGCGGGAGGCUUGACCCACAAAUGAACCUUGACCUCAAAUCGGGUGAGACUACCCGCUGAACUUA